UACGUAGGGGCAGCGUUGUCCGGAUUAUUGGCGUAAGAGCGUGUAGGCGGCUUGGUAGGUCCGCUGUGAAAACUCGAGGCUCAACCGUCGAGACGCCGGUGGAAACCAUCAGGCUAGAGUCCGGAAGAGGAGAGUGGAAGUUCCUGGUGGUAGCGGUGAAAUGCGACAGAUAUCAGGAGGAACACCGAUGGCGAAGGCAGGUCUCUGGGCAUUAACUGACGCUGAGGAGCGAAAGCAUGGGAGCGAACAGG
rnacentral:rRNA from 1 species